UACGUAGGAGACGAGCGUUGUCCGGAGUUACUGGGCGUAAAGGGUGCGCAGGUGGCGGCGCGCGUGGGGGGUGAAAUCGCCCGGCUUAACUGGGCGGGGGCCUUCCAGACGGCGUGGCUUGAGCAGCGGAGGGGGACGUGGAAUUCCGGGUGGAGCGGUGAAAUGCGUAGAGAUCCGGCAGAAGACCGGUGGCGAAGGCGGCCAGCUGGGCAGUAACUGACACUGAGGCGCGACAGCGUGGGGAGCAAACAGG
rnacentral:rRNA from 1 species